ensembl:lncRNA
UUUUUUUUUUUUUUUUUUUUGCUUUUGCUUUUGUUUGAUUUGAUUGGCUUCCUGGGGUGCAUAAUAACUAAAAUGUGAUUUCAUUCCCUCUACAACAAGUACAAUAUUCCAAUUACGAGUGCACUCUGAUUAUUUUUCACCUGCUAGUUUACCAUCUCUCCGCUCAGGAGUAAAAAGAGCUCUUGCGCUUUAAAACAGCCGAGAUGCUUAAGCAACACUACCCUUUUCCUUGGGAAAGUCAUCUCUAGUUCUGUUCAAGUUACCGCCUCACUGCUUCGUUUUCUGACAGAAUCACCUCCUUGCAAGAAGGAGAUCUAUGGUCUUACAUAACUUGAUGUUUCCAGAUCAAAAGUUACAAAUAUUGCAGUAAUAGCGCGAUGAGGGGGAUUUGGCAGGAUGGAUGUUGCACGACAUAAGUGAUUUCACGUUAAGAUUUCAAAUCAAGGCUAUUAAAAAAAAAAUUACUGGGGAAAAAGAAGAUUUUAAAAAAUGAAUAAACAAAAACUUGCUCAUUUGAUAUAUCCUUUAACAGCGCUCUCGCUUUUUAUCUUAUCUCCGUAGGCACUUGAGACUCUGCUUUCUCUUUUUAAAGCAAACUCUUAAAAAAUGUGUAAUUGUCAUAUCAAAAAACAGAGCAGCUUGAAACUCUCAGAUUCCAUUCAAAGAGAUGGAACUCCGUAAAUCAGUGUCAAUUCACAUUUAAAGUCUGGCUGCUACCUGCCCAGCUACGGGAUCCAUCAGCAUAGCGUAUUUUAACUAAAAGUUGAAAUGUUCCUUUUCUGCUUUGAACUGACAGAUUGGCAUUGCUAGGCACUUUGAGGCAGCAUCAUGCACCGCUUGGCAGUGAUUUUGGGUAUUCAUGGGUCCCUGGCCAGUGUGGUUGAGAGAGAAUCAGAAAAUCUAUGUUUUUAUUUUUUUUUAAUAUACAUUUAUAAGAUUUCUCCUUACUGUUAGGAUUAAAAAGGAAAAUAAUCUUGUAGAUUUUUUCUUUUCUCUAACUAAUCAUCGUAACUUGAGGAGUGAUGCUGCGGUGUGACUAUAGGACAUACAUGUAUUCCUGUUGUCGACAGAGGAGGGUCAGGCUGGAUAUCAGGAAAAGGUUCAGCCACAGAGGGUGGUGGGCAUGGAACAGUCUGGUCAGGGCAGUGGGCACGGGAGUGUUUGGACAAUGCUUUCAGAUACAUGGUUUGAUUUUUGGGUGGUGCUGUGUGGAGCCAGGAAUUGGAGUCUGUGAUCUUUAUGGGUUCCUUCCAACUCACGAUAUUCCGUGAUUCUAUGAUUCUGUUCUAUGAUUACUACACUGUACUGAUGUUUACAAUAUUUUCCUCAUAAUAUAUAUAUAGAUCUAUUUUGCUGGCUUCCUGGAGAAUCCUUAAAGGUGGAGGUGAAAUCGGAGUAGGAGGGUAUGUUCGUUUGUCUCUGUGAAGUGAUAAACAUUUCCUAAAGAAAGUUUACAUUUUUGGGGAAGUUUGAGUCCUACACACGGAUGCCUUUAUGUCAAAUUGCUGUGAACACAGCUAUUUAAUCUGUAGGAGGAUUCAAACCUCAUCAUAUAUUGUCCUGCUAUCCUGCUAAGUAUCAGCAGAGAUGAUUUCUUUUGAUGUAAAGAUGCUCAUAAAAGCACCAGACAUGGAAAUCUGUGUUCUUCCCAGUGUAUUGGCAACCAAAAGGAGGAAAAUGCUGUAUGAAAAGGAACACGGCUGGCAGUUCAGUUUCCUAUUCCUAUUCCAAGUAAGACUUGUUUUCUAGGAUGUGACACAUCUGUGUUUUUCCUAAAGGAGAGAGACAAAAAAAAUGGGGGAAAAAGUAAGGAGUUGCUGGUCCGCUUAGGCAGAAGAGCUUUUAUCAGUCCAUUUAAAUGGAGAUGAUUCAAUUAGAUUUCACUGAUAAUGGCUUCAGGUUUCAGUAAAGUCGUAUUUGUUACAGUCUAGGAAAACCACAGCAUCUCAGAGUUCUGCUUCGUUGCUCUAAGUACCUCCAUGGCACUGGAGAUGUUUCAUUGCCCUUUGUUUUUUAGGUUAUAGGUGAUUUUUCAGUGUAGCUUUCUUAACCCCAAGUAGAAGCUGAACUGUUUGCCUGUGUCUGUACACAGAGUCUUCAAAAUAUUCUGGAGGUUGCUUAGUAAAACAGACAGUAGUUAGAAAAUGUCAGGAUCAAAUCCUUAAACUCUGGAAUCUAGGGCUGUGUGCAGUGCUUCAGCCUUUGGAGAAUGUUGGGUCCAUGCAUAAAAUCAGGCUUGGCCUUCUGCAUCAUACUGUUUGGAGGGAGGGAGAUGCCAGGAUUUAAUUCCUAGGAAGAAGUAUCUUCAAAUGCAAUCUAUCCACAUGAAAGCAAAGACCUAGAGGCCACAUAGUCAUAAAACAUAUCUCCCGCUGGGUCACCUGGACUUAAAUGGCCUGAUCCCAAAUUUGAUAACGGAGAAGUUUCAAUAUUUUGCAAAUUAAUUACUUUUGAACUGCUUCUAUUCCCUCGAAAGCUGAACACCUCUAUCUUCAACUCUCUCAUCUAAUGAAGAAUUAGGAAGGGAGAGUCUGGCUAGUCAGAAAUACUUCAGAAGUAGCUGCCAGAAGUGGUUAGAAAAAGACAGUGGGCCAUGUGAGUUCCUGAAAUGUCCUUUCUGCUUGCUGAUAGACAAAGCGUUGGUUGGUUGGGCUUGGUAUAGCAUAGAUCCCAUCAGCCUGGAACAAACAAUGCUGCUAUUUCUAGAAGAUUGCCCUUUGUGCGGAUGGGUUUAAGGUGUGAUCAGCGUUUUGGCAUUGGCACAGAUUCCUGUGCUAGAAAGCAAAGAGCAAUCUCAAGAGCUGAUCUCAGGAUUUGCUCAUGCAGAGAGCCACGGCCGGAGGUUACUUAUGGUGGUAAAACAAAGUCCACACAGACUUUAAUUGCUAUUGUGGGCAACUAGCAUGUAAGCAGGUCAGACUCUGAGCUAUCAAAAUGAGUAUCCAGAGGUUGCAACAUGCUUUGCUUCAACAUGGUUACGAAAUGUUAGGUUGAAAUUACUUGCUCAACAUUGCUCGUGGUCUCAGGACAUCAUUUGUCUGUCUUAAUCUGAAACAUAUUCACCCUCAUUCCUCCAUCCUCUGCUGAGUCACUACAAACCUUCCAGCUCUGCAACAGCUGAGACAGGGAUCAUAAACCUCAUCUUCUCCCUGUUCUCACGGCUGCAUCUCCAGGCUGGUUUGGAUAAAACACGAUCCUGUGAAUAAUGACUGCAUCAUGCUAAAGGCAGACAGAGUACUUCAUUAAAGCAACUUUCAGUGUGGCUUUUUUUUUUUUCUUACAUGGUGGGUGUCCAGGAUGGCCUUUUAAAUCUUAUUAUUGAUCUGUUAGUCUCUCUUUGGUUGGAUGUAUUUUUAAAGAAGUCUUCUAAAAACUAGUAGCUUUGUCAUGUUGCAUCACUUUUGUAUUUAUAUGUGUCAGUGGUUUAAAUUAACAGAUGGUCAUAGCUUGGUUUCACAGAGUACUCUGCUCCCCAAAACAGAUCCCUCCUGGUCCAUACCACUCAAUCUGUUCCUCUCAUUUGCUGCCUUUUCCAGCCCCAUCCUGCAAUCCCAGUGACAUUCCCCGAAUGCCAGGUCUCCUGUCCCGAACUCAUCCAGCUCCUUCUGGCUAGGGAUGACCACAUGGUGAAUGUCAAACAUGACGAGUGUCUCUGAUUUUAAUUUUAGUAGUGGGAAGCAGACCUGGCACAUCCCAAGGCACAAAGCAUCUUGUUUAGUCCCACACAGGUGGAAAUGUAAGUGAUUGAAGCUGGCAAACAUGCACAACUGCACCCAGGAGCAUGUAUCAGAAGCGUUUUGUCAAAGUUGUCUAAACUUGGCCAAGUUUACACAGAUUCCCAUAAAAUUUGUUGAAAGAAAAACAGUCCUCUCCCAGGCAAAUUUGAAGUCCUUCCUCUAAAGUCCUGAAGAUCCCAGAGGAGAUUUUAGAGAGAAGGCUGAAGGCAUUUUUUUUAACAUGGGUAAAACAACAUAUUUUUCCCUAGCCUUGUUCUCAGAAUCUGCUGAACUGUUUUGACUGAAUUUCUCCAAAAAACUUCAGCCUGAGGCGGACAGCUGGCAUGGAAAUUUUCAGCCCAAACAAUUUGCUUAGUGUAGUUAUGAGAAGCUGUGAAUGCUGUUUUAUUAUUAAAACUGCCUUGCUCUUCCUGUAAUUGACAGCACUACCAACUUUGUUUUUCCCUAAUAAACAGAUAACUUGAGAUUUUGUUACAAACUAAUUUUGUGUUUGUGUGUUUUAUAGAUAUUUUUAUAUAUUGGGAAUUUAUUAUAAAACUGACACAUGCAUUUCAGCAUAUGUUAGCAGAUGAUGAAAUCACAAGCUUCCUGGAAACAAAAGCGAAUACAUUAAUAGGAAUCCUACGAAGCUGCAUCAAAGGAGUACAACACUGCAGGAUUUGUAGAAUGAGAUUAAAAAUGAAGAAAUCUCAGGAGAUGCUGCACUGACAGAAUGAUCACACAAAUUCCCAUGUAUCCCACCUUUGGGUUCACGGUCCUUCUGGCAGAAGAAUUCUGCUUUAAUAUAAAGAACGUUCUCUUGUAACAGCAGCUGUUAUUUGA